rnacentral:rRNA from 1 species
AAUGAACGUUGGCGGCGUGGAUUAGGCAUGCAAGUCGUACGAGAAUCGUAGCAAUACGAGGAAAGUGGCGGAAGGGAGAGGAUUACGUGGGAAUCUACCCUCAGAACUGGGAUAGCGGCGGGAAACUGCCGGUAAUACCAGAUAAUGUCUGUGGACCAAAGGUGUGAUUCCGUCUGGGGAUGAGCCCACGUCCUAUUAGCUAGUUGGCAGGGUAAUGGCCUACCAAGGCAAUGAUGGGUAGCGGGUGUGAGAGCAUGACCCGCCUAACUGGGACUGAGAACUGCCCAGACACCGACGGGUGGCUGCAGUCGAGAAUCUUCGGCAAUGAGCGCAAGCUUGACCGAGCGACGCCGCGUGCGGGAUGAAGGCCUUCGGGUUGUAAACCGCUGUCGUAGGGGAGCAAGAGAUGAGGGUACUCCCUCUGAUUUGAGCGAUCCUAGGAGGAAGGACGGGCUAAGUUCGUGCCAGCCGCCGCAGUAACAC